CCGGCCGCCCGGAGAUAAUCUCCCCCGCCGCUGCUCACCCCGCCGCUCGGAGACAACCUCCUCCGCCGCCUUCCCCUACAAGUAACAGUGCAGUAGAGAGCUUCACAAAACAGGGAUGCUUUAGAUGCAUCAGGAGCAAGCAGAUGGUGGGCAUAUUUGCCUCAGUCUGGGUGAGAAGCAAUCUUAGGCCAUACAUUCGCCAUUUGAAUGUGUCAUGUGUUGGAUCGGGUAUCAUGGGCUACCUAGGGAACAAGGGUUCAGUGUCAGUUCGAUUCUUGUUGCACGAGAUGAGCUUUUGCAUUGUUUGUUGUCACCUGGCUUCAGGUGGCAAACAAGGGGAUGUACUGCUGAGGAAUUUUGAUGCAGCGGACAUACUUGCAAGGACGAAAUUCCAUGGCGAUGGAAAUAAAAAGCUGCCAAAGAAGAUCCUUGAUCACGAGUAUGGCUUGCUGGGCUUGCUGUCACAUAUGGACUCAACUUAAAUGCUCGGAUGUCAAGAGGUCAAGUCCCUAGAAAAUUAAAAUGAGCUGCUGGAGAUAAACAAAAAGGAUUUGAACGGAAACAUGGACAGUCAAGGGAGGUUGCUUGAUCUUGAUGUCGCCUCUACUUUAUCAUUUGUGAAAGCAAAAGUAAGAUCAUUAAAACUAAAAGUCAUUCAGAGAUCAUUUGACAUGCUUGAAAGAUUUUGUGUUACAGAUAACUAGAAGUUGAAUCUCCAUUUUUAUUAUGGUUUCUGGAGUUAAAUAGGAUAUUUAUUCAGACUAUAUUCCAUUUUAUUUUCUUGAAUUAUAUAUGAUCUUCUCAUGUAACUCGUUCUAACAACACCCUUUUUUGCAUAUUUCAGUUCAUUACACCGUCAUGUUAGUCAUGUACUAGGAAAUGAUGAAGUCAGUACAUUAUUGGGUACUCUUUAUUGAUUAUAUUUCAGUUAGUGCCUUGAUUCACGAAGGGUUGCAAAAUAUAUGGAUGAAAGGUCAUAGAAGUACUACAUUUGGACUGCCGUGAAGCUGGUUCCUCCUCCGAGUGCCCUUUUGAGAUUGAUGCUGAAGACUCCGUGCCUCUACUCAACCUUCUGUGUUUUUCAGUUCCAGAACGGUGACACCGCCAUCAUAGUCGUAUCUCCUCGUACUGGUCGUUUUCCCGACCCUUGACUUGUGAUUAUGUGCGCUGAACCGAUGACUGCCCUGGACAUCGUGUUUGCUUCAGUUGAGGAUUUAUUGGUAUAUUAUCCAUAUAAAGUGAAGAUUUUUCUCUAGAUAUAUGACAAAUAUUUUCAAGGACAAGUAUGCAGGCUUGGCCAAUCCGUUUUGAGGCUUUAUAGAUUUGGUUAUUUUACUUAUUUCAAGUUUUUGGCUGAUCUGCUUCGAGGGCAUCUAGG